GGUUAAAGAGAACUUUUAAAAUAAGAGAUAUUGGACUGUGCUCAAUCCUUUGGGGCAGCAGGGCAGCCUAGUGGUUAGAGCGUAGAGGAGGUAGGUUAGCCUAGUGGUUAGAGUGUAGAGGAGGCAGGGUAGCCUAGUGGUUAGAGUGUAGAGGAGGUAGGGUAGCCUAGUGGUUAGAGUGUAGAGGAGGCAGGGUAGCCUAGUGGUUAGAGUGUAGAGGAGGUAGGGUAGCCUAGUGGUUAGAGUGUGGAGGAGGCAGGGUAGCCUUGUGGUUAGAGUGUAGAGGAGGCAGGUUGGCCUAGUGGUUCGAGUGUAUAGAGGAGGUAGGGUAGCCUAGUGGUUAGAGCGUUGGACUAGUAACCGGAAGGUUGCAAGUUCAAACCCCGAGCUGACAAGGUACAAAUCUGUCGUUCUGCCCCUGAACAGGUAGUUAGUUAGCCUAGGAACAGUGGGUUGUCAUUGAAAAUAAGAAUUUGUUCUUAACUGACUUGCCUAGUUAAAUAAAGGUAAAAUUAAAAGAUUUAAAAUUUCACUUAAAAUCACACAUUCAUGUCAAAUGGAAGAAUUUGUUUACGUCCCUGUAGUCCUUUACCAAAGGUAAUUCAAUCCAUCUGACAGGUGUGGCAUAUCAAGAAGCUAUUUAAACAUCAUGAUUUAUUUUUUUAAAACACAGGUGCACCUUGUGCCGGGACAAUAAAAGGCCACUCUUAAAUGAGCAGUUGUCACACAACACAAUGCCACAGAUGUCUACAUUUUGAGGGAGAUGGCAUGCUGAUUGCAGGUAUUUCCACCAGAGCAGUUGCCAGAGAAUUUAAUGUUCAUUUCUCUACCGUAAGCCGCUUCCAACGUUGUUUUAGACAAUUUGACAGAACGUCCAACCGGCCUCACAACCCCAGACCAGGUGUAACCACGCCAGCCCAGGACCUCCACAUCCGGCUUCUUAACCCUGGGGAUAAUCUGAGACCAGCCACCCGGACAGCUGAUGAAACUGAGGAGUAUUUCUGUCUGUAAUAAAGCCCUUUUGUGGGGAAAAACUCAUUCUGAUUGGCUGGGUCUGGCUCCACAGUGGGUGCCAGACCCAGCCUUCCAGCCUUCCUGGGCCUUCCUAGGCCCACCCAUGGCGGUGCCCCUACCCAGUCAUGUGAAAUCCAUAGAUUUGGACGGCAGGGUAGCCUAGUGGUUAGAGUGUAGAGGAGGUAGGGUAGCCUAGUGGUUAGAGUGUAGAGGUGGCAGGGUAGCCUAGUGGUUAGAGUGUAGAGGAGGUAGGGUAGCCUAGUGGUUAGAGUGUAGAGGAGGCAGGGUAGCCUAGUGGUUAGAGUGUAGAGGAGGUAGGGUAGCCUAGUGGUUACAGUGUGGAGGAGGCAGGUUAGCAUAGUGGUUAGAGCGUUGGACUAGUAACCGGAAGGUUUCAAGUUCAAACCCCCGAGCUGACAAGGUGCAAAUCUGUCGUUCUGCCCAUGAACAGGCAGUUAACCCACUGUCAUUGAGAAUUAGAAUUUGUUCUUAACUGACUUGCCUAGUUAAAUAAAGGUAAAAUAAAAUAAAAAAGAUUAGGGCCUAAUGAAUGUAUUUCAAUUGACUGAUUUCCUUAUAUGAACUGUAACUCAGUAAAAUGGUUGAAAUUGUUGCAUGUUGGCGUUCAUAUUUUUUUGUUCAGUAUAGA